rnacentral:rRNA from 1 species
CUCCAGACUCCUACGGGAGGCAGCAGUGGGGAAUAUUGCACAAUGGGGGAAACCCUGAUGCAGCGACGCCGCGUGAGUGAGGAAGUAUUUCGGUAUGUAAAGCUCUAUCAGCAGGGAAGAAAAUGACGGUACCUGACUAAGAAGCCCCGGCUAACUACGUGCCAGCAGCCGCGGUAAUACGUAGGGGGCAAGCGUUAUCCGGAUUUACUGGGUGUAAAGGGGGCGCAGACGGCGAUGCAAGCCAGGAGUGAAAGCCCGGGGCCCAACCCCGGGACUGCUCUUGGAACUGCGUGGCUGGAGUGCAGGAGGGGCAGGCGGAAUUCCUGGUGUAGCGGUGAAAUGCGUAGAUAUCAGGAGGAACACCGGUGGCGAAGGCGGCCUGCUGGACUGCAACUGACGUUGAGGCCCGAAAGCGUGGGGAGCAAACAGGAUUAGAUACCCGCGUAA